GUCUAUGGCCAUACCACCCUGAACGCGCCUGAUCUCGUCUGAUCUCGGAAGCUGAGCAGGGUCGGGCCUGGUUAGUACCUGGAUGGGAGAUAUGUUGUUUUGGCUGAAGAAAAUCUGGCUUCACACAGU
rnacentral:rRNA from 1 species